UUCUCAUGCUAAAAAUACUUUAAAAUUAGGUUCAAAUGCUAGUGAUUGCAUAUGUAACAUACAAAAACGGAAGAUGCUUUAAGCACUCGAAUUCAAAGUGCAACACCAUCACUAAUUUCUAGUACUGCAUGCUUAGAAAAAUUUCAUAUGUAUCGUGGUUUUAGUCGCUUUAAUUCAUAGGAUUAGCUUUCUGGAGUGAUGGCAUUGUGGGCGGGAGCUUUUAGUUCCAGAAAACUGACACCAAUAUUUGUCUGUCCUGUGUUAUAGAUUUCUCUAGUAAUUAUAGUUUGCAUACAGAAAAACAUGUCACCUUAGUCCCCCAUAAGCAUGAGCAUUAAGCACUUCAAGUUAAAUGUCAUACUUCGGUGAAUGUGGAAUGGCUGAGAAUUUAACAGAUGGGUGUUUGUGAUAACCCCUUUUCUUUUAUAGUUGCAGUUCUUAUUUGAUUGCAAUUAACAACAUAAAGUCCCAUUUAAAAAUUUUGGGAUCAUGAAACUAUCAGUUUUGCACAGUCUGAAAAGCUAAUCACAUCGUCUCUUCAUAAUUUACCGACUAUUUUGUUGGCUGGUCGAUAAUUUUGCAGUUUACAUGUUUCUGCCUGUUUGAGACCACAUUUACCACCUGUAAACUCUUAUUUCUUAUUCCUGCCUCUUUGCGAAGAAAGCAAUGCCCCUGUCUACACUUGUGUUGGGUGCAUAACAAGAAUAACUGCAGAGAAUGGGAGGUUGUUGCUGUUCUUCCAGAAAAGCUCGUGUGCAACUGCAUGGAGCACCUGUAUAUAUCUAUUGUCCUCCGGUUUUGGAAGAGCAAGAGUCGUUAAGAUCUCAUGAUGUCACAGCCUCCGCAAUCAGUGCAGGACUUCUGGUUUGUUGGGAUUUGGAAUCAUCAAUACCUGACACUUACAGACCCCCUCCUCCACCUUUGCCAUAUAAUAUGGUCUUUGGAUCAACAGAUUCUGAUUCUGCCAGGGAAACAAUUAGUUGCAGUAGUUUUGAUACUUCCGCUACUUGUGGAGAUCUUGGGGAAUCAGACUGCAAAGUUCAAGAAGGUUCUUUGGAUAUCUCACCGAAGAAGUUAGGACUUUCCAAAUCAAAUGAACCUCAUGGUUUAGAAAAAGAAGACGAGGAUGUUUGUCCUAUCUGUCUCGAAGAGUACGAAACCGAGAAUCCAAGGUUUAUCACAAAAUGCAAACACCACUAUCACCUCUCGUGUAUCCUUGAGUGGAUGGAAAGAAGUGAUGCCUGUCCUAUAUGUGAUCAGGAAGUCAUUUCACCAAUGAAGAAGGUAAAAGAAGAGUAGAAAUUACUGAUGCACCUGAUUUUUGGUGGAAUGAUGAUUACGGAACGGUUACAAUCGUAAGGGAACUGGCAGUUGACCAAACCUUGUAGUUUGUAGCUCGUUCUUUUGUAAAAUCAAAGUUUAUUUGCUGCUCGAAGUCAGAGAUUGCCAACUCAGUAGACUCUAGACCGACAGUAGCUCUUUCUUUCGAAACUUUCCAGGGAUGUGUGGCCUGCAGAUUCAUUUAUAAUUUCGGUCAUGCUCAAAUUGAAGAUUGCACCGAAUCUCUUUAGUUAGCUGUAUUAGCGGGUCAGUUGAUGGCGGCAACGUCUCUUUCCCUAUGUUUAUGGCUUGAUUCAAAUUCUCAGACAGGCCUCUAGGUUUAAAGUGGAGCAACCAAGAGGUUAAGAACAAGGUCUUCCUGUGGAACCAAGGUAACAACAGUUCCGCUAUGUACAUAUCUCUUAGUUUGUUGUAGGAAUCCUUCUGUUGCCCAUUUGUUGCUGUCUGCUGCAGGAUUUGAUCAUACACUGCAGUCCUUAAAUUUGUAAUUUGUGUAAAUCACAUCUCUUUUACUUUGUGGGUGGAUCUGAUUUAGAAAAAUUGUUUCAUGUAUAAAAGCAUGCAAUGAUGAAGAAAUCUAGUCCUGAAAAGUAUACCACACAAAGUUGAUCUUAUAUACAUUUGGGAAAUUAAGGGCCUCGUUGAUAAUCA